CCUAAUUAAUUAUUUUGACAUUUCAAUUGUUUCAGUAAAAAAAUGAAAACAAUUUUUUUUCCCAGUAUCCAUAAAAUCAUUGAUUAUUGCUUGCUUAAACAGUUUUUUUCUUCAACAUUAUAAUAGAUGACAGAUUUUAGAUAGUGGAUAUGAGGUUAUCAUGGCGGUCAUCGUCCUGUCGGUCUUAAGAUGACGGAUUUCGGUCAUUGAUCACUUAUGAUGGCAGAAAUCUACCUUUUUAAUACAAUGUCUUAUUUCUUAUACCUUCAUUCCUAAAUCCCAUUAUACCAAUCAUCUUUUUUUUUUAUGUGUUCAUUCGAAUCUUAGUUGAGUUCAGCGACAUUCCAUUCUGCAAUUACGAAUCUGCAGCAGUGAAAUUGGGUAUUUAGAUCAGUCAAAUUGGCAGAAAUCAAGAAGGAUUGUUCAAUUUAAAUCUAGUCUAAUUAUCCCAAUUAAAUUUUUGAUCAAUUUUACCCAAAAUAUUAAACUCCAGUUACCUGUAGAAAUCUAUAAAUUUACUAAAAUGUAAUUAAAGAAAUGUAGAUUCAAACUUGUGAUAAGAUCGAUGAUAGGAAGAAUAAAAAAUGACAUUUAUUAAAUGAUGGAUGGAUACUGCAAAAAGCAUGUGAUUUCUUAAUCGAUUACAGAUUUACAGGAGACAAAUAUUAGAAUUGCAGGUUUCAACUUUGACAAAAGCACAAACAUACAACUACACCAUGUGAGUUUGAGACUGGAUAACAAGCUAUUUUAUUAUUUAUUAUCUUUCCAUUAAUUCAUCAACAAUUCAAUAUGUUGCCAAAGUGGCGGGACCUUCUUCAACAUGUCCACCCAUCAAUGAUCAAUCUAAGAACGCAGGUAUGAAGAAAAACCAUGUUCAUACAGUCAUACUGGUAUGUAUAUUUCAAUCUUGAUAUAUGGAACAGUGUUUAAAUCUUCUAGUUUUUCAAACUCUUCCUGUUUGAAAAUAAUAGUUUCUAAAACCGACUUGAUAAGUGCCAACUUGCACAACUUCUUGUUCAGAUCUGUAUUGAUGAUGUUGUAUGUCGACCUAUUUUGCACAGAACCAAGGGCGGAACCAGGAUUUGGCCGUAUCCGCUGAAGAUAUCAUUGGUAUUAAUUGUCUUCAAUUUGACCUAGCUAAAAACAAUUGAUUUACCUUUGGAGAUAAAUGUGAAAUGUAAAAGUAAAAAGAGGAGAUUGGAUGGAAAUAAAGAAUUCAGAUCUUCCUCGCCCGAACAACGGGCCUGGGCCAGCAGAGGUCCAUGGACGAAUUCUAUAAAUAUCUUCCUUGGUCCAACAUGGGAAGGGGCUGUGGCGAAAUCCGCAUGUUUCUUGUGCUCUCUUCAGGGGGUUACUGAUGAGACAUGCCUGAUUACGUCAGUCACUCCCAACAACACCCUUCAACAAGGACUAGGGUUCCGUCGCUAUAUGCCGGACCCCCGGAAGGCUCCAACGGUGUGGAACAAGGAUCAUUGUUAAAUCGUCGACCUAACCCAUAAAUUAUCGAUUGGACUACCAAAUCGUCGACUUUAGUCAUAAAUCGCCGAGUUGAGACCGAGAUAGUCAGUAUGGUAGACUAAAGAUCUCGGCCUUUAAAACUCGCCGAGUUUGCCACUAAAUAGGCGAUUCCACACCUGAAUCGUCGAUUUACGACUGUUACUCGUCGCCUGCCUGCGUCAUAAUGGGUCAUUAAUGCGCCCCGUUAUGGCAACCGACGCGAUGCCCGCCGCGAAGCGCCCCCCCAAAGACCCUAUAAAAGAGGUCCCAAGGGGUCACUCCAAGGAAGAAUACAAGUUCCAACCACACUAGAGCAUUACGGAGCGAAUAGCCGAUUUCCACACCUAAAUCGUCUAUUCUCCUCCGACAGGAUUUAACGUCGAGCGCACGUCGUAGACUCCAGAACCUCCGGCCCUCCUCGCAACCCCGCGAGCCCCUGGUAGCAGAUUCAGUGCUUCAUCAGCAGACUCAGGUAUGAUAUAUCCUUAGUCUGUAUACACUCAUAAAAGCUUCAAACAAGGUAAAUUUUUAAAUUACUUUAUGAGUGCAAUAUUUACGAAAUAUAGGUGGAGCUAGAUAAGGAAAAGAUAAGAUAUACCAAAAUAUAGAAAUUAGGAUUUGAAAUUCCUCAACAACAAAUAUGCCAUUAACAAAGUGGGAGAAUGUAGAAAUAAGAUUCUCAAUGACAUAUUUAGUUGUUAAUUAAUUUGAAAUAUAAUAAACCCUAAUUAACAAGAUAUAGAUAUAUAUGAGUUAAAGCUACAUGAAUAAAUCUAUUAAACUCAUAUAGAUAAAAUUGACUUGAUAUAUGAUUAAACUAAAGUGAGAUUAGUAUUAAUUAUUUCUAUCAAACAAAUCUCUACUAUUGAUCAAGUUAAUUAUUGAAACUUUUAUUUAAUUAUGCACACCUAUUUGCUUGCAUUAACUCUUGUUUCAAGUUGAUCAAUAUCUUAAAGGUUAAUCAACAAGGUGUGAAAGUUACAAUUAUUCAUCAAAGCUUCAAAUGGAUCCAAGGUGUAGAAAACGUGUAGAAGGGCAAUCAUGAUAAAUUCCAAGAGCAUAUCCAACAUAUUAACUACAAGAUCUUGGAAUCAAUGCUACACAAAAUCCUAGAAGAAGAAUUCAAAUUCGAGCAAGGCAAAACGUGUGGAGGUCCAAUCUCCCAAAAUAAAACACAAUCAUGAUCUUGAAUUAAAUGCUACACAAUCUCCCAAGAUCAAGUUCAAAUUCAAGUGAAGCUCCAUGUCUCUCCAACGUCUAUAUUCAAGCUUUUCUUCCUAGGAGUUUUGAAGAUAAAGAAAUUACCUCCAUGCCAUCAAGGACUACUAUAUAAGGAGGUGCACACCCAAGAGCCAAAGCCAUCACUUGCAAUCUUUUCUAAAGCUCUCCUUGGAUCAAAGCUCUAUUCUUUCUCCCUUGCUCUUGCUCAAGCUCUAGCUCUCGUUCAAGCUUUGUGUGAGAGUUGCUCUCAAGGUUGUGUGCUCUAGUUCUUCAACUUCUUCUUCCCCUCUUGUGUAUGUUGAGAGUGUGUUAGAAGAAAAGCUCUACAUCUUGUAAGUGAUCCAACUGUUGUGAGAGGUUUGUCACAAUACCAACACUUGAAAGGUUCUACGAGUUCAACCAUAAAACUCGGUGUGGUUCUAUAGAGUUUCCAGGAAAACUCUUAGAUUGAAUCUGCCUUAAAGGUUCAAAGGUUUUUAAGAGUUCUUUAAUACUCUUAGGUGGUUCACAAGUGUUUAGCCUUAAAGCUUGGCAGAGGUUCUUAAGAGUUCCUGAAUACUCUUAGAGGGUUGACAAGCGUUUAGCUUUAAAGCUUGGCAGAGGUUUUUAAAAGUUCUUGAAUACUCUUAGGUAUUUCACAAGCGUUUAGCCUUAAAGCUUGGCAGAGGUUUCGCCAUUACCUUCAGGCUAGUGAUCUUCGUGUUUCAUCGGAACUGGAUUAGCCCUUGUUUGGGUGAACUAGUAUAAAAAUCUCUGUCUCUUUUUACUUUUAGUUUUUCUAUUUUAAAUCUUAACAAGAUAAUAAACAACUAAAAAAAGAUCCCUCAUUCAGUUACCUGGUCAUAGAUUGAGGUUGACUAUUUUCGUGCAAAUCCCUCAUCCAGUUAUGUGGUCAUUGACUGAGGUUACUUUCAGUACAAAUAUAUCCAGUCACCUGAUCACGUAUACUUAUAUAUUUUAACUUAUGUUAUUUACUUGCUUAUAAGAGAACUUAGUAUUCAUAUACUACAGUUAGCUUAAAAAGCUUAUUUUCAAGUUAAAAUAUAUAUCUGUUCAUUUACUUUUACACGUGUCUCUAUAUAAUUUAAUAUUUGCAUACUACAGUUAUAUAGAAGUCACAAUUUAAUAAGUGGACUCAGUAUUCAUAUAUUGCAGUAAGCUUAUAAAAAACAGACACUUUAUAUAUAUAUAUAUCUUUGUCUUUGACUUGCAUUCUCAGGUAUUCCGUACACUAUUUGAGAAAUCACGAGAAGAGGCUAUUACCCCCCCCCUUAAGCCUCUGAUCCAGAUCCAACAGUUCUUUGGUUUCUAUGUAGGUCAGUAUGGGAUCAAACCUAAUCCCGACAAAAGCCAAGCGAUUCUCGAUAUGGAAGCCCCCCGCACAAUCAGAGAGGUACAAAGGCUGAACAGUCGAAUCAAUGUAAAUCGUUAUUUCAGUUACUGAAAACUGCAGCUAAGGGAAGUAUCACUUGGAUACCGGAAUGCGAGGAAGCAUUUACUAAGCUAAAAGCACACAUGUCCUCGCUUCCAAUGCUGACAUCACCAAAGGAUGGGGAUGAUCUGUACUUAUACAUAGUAGCUUCAGAAGAAGUCGUGAGUGCAGUCCUCAUUGCGCAAAGGGACAAGGACCAGGUCCCUAUCUAUUACUACUCGAGGCGACUGCAAGGCGCAGAAAUACGAUAUUCUCCGAUUGAGAAAAUCGUAUACGCUGUAAUCCACGCUUGUCGUCGCUUUCGAGCCUAUUUCUUGGCGCACACGAUUGUAGUUUUGACAUCGUGUCCCCUACGCUGUCUACUUCACAAACCCGACAUUUCCGAGAGGUUAACCAAAUGGGCAAUCGAGCUCAAUGAAUUCGACCUGGAUUUCCGACCAGCCACUGCCAUCAAAGGGCAAGCUGUGGCGGACUUCAUCGUCGAACUCACACCUACUAACCUAGCCAAACCUUAGAUUUUGGAAGUAGACGGCUCGAGUUGCAGCACAGGCUCAGGUAUCGAAGUGAAAAUCCAUAGUCCAGAUGGAAAAAAUUACGAACACUCGGUACGGCUUCACUUCCCGGCAUCCAACAAUGUCGCGGAAUACGAAGCAGCCAUACACGGUUUGAAGCUGUUAAGAACUCUCGGCGCCGAGAAAAUCACGCUUCGCAUUGACUCCCAGCUCGUAGCUCGGUAAACCACUGGUGAGUUCGUCUGCAAAGAACCACAAAUAACCAAAUAUAUGGAGGCAAUAGUGGCACUCACCAAACAAUUCGCUGAGUUCAAAAUCGUGCAAAUCCCUCGAAUUCUAAACAUACCUGCCGACGCUCUAGCACGUCUAGCUUCGGCUUGGAAGGGAGGGUAGCGUGAAAUUCUAGUGGACUCUAUACUCCAGCCCACAUGCCAAGUAUUGAACGUCACUUCCAAUCCUCAAGAAGAUUGGAGACAACCAAUACUUGCAUUCAUUCAAAGUGGAGUACUUCCUGACAAUAAGGGUGAGGUCAAAAAACUAAAACACAAGGCAGCCAAAUAUUGCAACGUUGGAGGGGUACUUUACAAAAAGUCCUUCGACAGCCUGCUGCUGCACUUUUUGGCCAAGUCAGAUACGAAUAAGGUCAUCCAGGAAGUACACGAAGGUUCGUGCGGACUCCACGAGGAAGAAAGAGCACUGGCUUUCAAAAUCAUAAGGCUGGGGUAUUAUUGGCCCACUCUGAGGUUAGAAACUCGCACUUACGUCUGCAAGUGCCGAGCAUGUCAGUUGCACAGUCCAAUGCAAAAGAAACCAUCCGCGGACAUGACUCUGAUCUUGACCACGAUCUCGUUCGCAAGGUGGAGACUGAACAUAGUAGGCCCAUUCCUAACCUCCACAUCUCAGGCUCGAUUCAUCUUUGUAGUAGUAGACUACUUUACAAAGUGAGUCGAAGCUCAAGCGGUAGCAAAGAUCACUCAAGAUGCGGCAGUCAAAUUCAUCUACCGCUCCAUAGUCUGUCGAUUCGAAAUUCCCAAAUACAUUAUCAUGGACAAUGACACACAAUUUACAGGAGGAAAAUUUUCAAGAAUGUGCGAGGACCUGGGCACAAAACUUCACUUCGCUUUCAUUUACCGAUCUCAAGCAAAUGGGCAAGUGGAAGUAACCAACAAGGCCAUCGUACAAGGAUUGAAAAAGAAGAUUGAAUCGGCAAAAGGGGCCUGGGCAGACAAGUUGUGCAAAUUCCGAUGGGCAUAUCGCACAACAAGUAAAAACCCCACGGGCCACACCCCUUCGCUAUGACUUAUGGAGUGGAAGUCGUCAUACCAAUUAAGAUGAGUAUACCAACAUACAGAGUUUCGAACUACAACGAGCAAACCGAUGAUGAAAACCUAGCAUUAGAGCUAGCGUUAAGGGAAGAAACCCAUGACGAGGUGAAUCUUCAGAAUGAAUCGUACAAGGCCAGCGUUUCAAGAUACCACAAUCGCCAAGUACGAAAAAAGGUAUUCCUGCCAGGAACUCUCGUCACGCGGAAGGCUAGCAUAACAGAAAGGAACAGACCAAGAAAUAAAUUUUCAUCCAAGUUCGAAGGACCCUACAUCGUCGAAGAAGAGAUACGACCAGGCACUUAUCGCGGUUGACAGUGGAUCCCAGAGCGAGCUGACUGUUGGAACAUCCGGAGGAAAGCCGUUGGUUAUUGGGCAAACAUCGAAGAGAACGUGGAUCUAGAGGAAAGUCCGCAGGAAGCUUUUUAGCUAAGUUAGUUUUAUUUUAAGUUCCAGGGUGAUAUUUGUAAUGAAUCAUUUUAUCAAUUAAUAUAAUUUCAAUUUUACUGAUACAUGAUUGUACAUCAGUCACUCCCGUUAACAUAGACUAGGGUUUCGUUCGUUAUAUGUUGGACCCCAGAAGGCUCCCACGAGGUCGAAAGUAAAGUCUUCGUCAAUGCCCGAGUCAACUCUCUGGGUCGCUGAUUUGGUUUGCCAAAUAUUCGAUUUGAGUGGCAAAUUGCCGAAUUUAGGCCAAGGUCGCCAAAGUCUGGCAGACUGCCGAUCUUGUCCUCUCUGAACUCGCCGAUUGACCUCCAAAUCGUCGAUUCCAGAGCGUUACUCGUGUCCAGCUUGCGCCAUUAUGGCCGAGUUCUAUCAUCCAGCGGAUUACGCCUCCAGAGGUCCUAUAAAAGGGGACCCCAGACUCACUCCAAAGGCAUCAUUUCCACCCUUUCUAGAGCAUAUUACAUGGUGCGAAUCACAGAUUCUGAUAGUGCAAUCGUCGAUUUCUCCUGGAAGACUUGACGUAGAGUGUGUGUCGUAGAUCUCAGAGCGUCCGGCCUGGUGAGACAUGCCUGAUUACACUAGUCACUACCCAUCAACGCCUCUCAACAAGGACUAGGGCUCCGUCGCUAAGGCAGGACCCCCGGAGAGCUCCCACGGUGCGGAACAUCGUUCUUCGUUCAGAUCGCCGAGUUAGCCCGUAAAGUCGCCCGAUUGGACUACCAAGUCGCCGACAUACAGGAUAACUCGCCGAGUUAAGGCAAGAUCGGCAGUAUGGUAGACUGUACGACUUGGCCCUAGAAACUCGCCGAGUUAGCCCUUAACUAGGCGACUUCCAUACCUGAAUCGGCGACUUACGACCGUUACUCGGCGGCAGCCAACGUCAUAAAUGUUACCAUAUAUGACCAUAGGCGCGAUCUCCGCCGAUGAGUGCGCCCUCCGAGACCCUAUAAAAGGGGUCCCAAGGGGACACUCAAAGGGCACGAUUCAAGUUCCACUCUCACACCAGAGCACUACACUACGAAACUCGACGAGUCUCAUUAGAAUCGCCUAGUUUCACUUGCAGGUAUUUGACGUAGAGCGUGCGUCGUGGACUCCAAAGCCUCCGGCAUCAACCUCGCACCACCGCGAGCCCUGGUAGCAGAUUCAGUGCUUCAUCAGAGUGCGCCCUCCGAGACCCUAUAAAAGGGGUCCCAAGGGGACACUCAAAGGCACGAUUCAAGUUCCACUCUCACACCAGAGCACUACACUACGAAACUCGCCGAUUCUCACUAGAAUCGCCUAGUUUCACUUCCAGGUAUUUGACGUAGAGCGUGCGUCAUGGACUCCAAAGCCUCCGGCAUCAACCUCGCACCACCGCGAGCCCUGGUAGCAGAUUCAGUGCUUCAUCACGGCCCACCAAGAUAGCCGCUCGCACCACCGCGAGCGCUGGUAAGACAUUUUAUGCUUCAUCAAAUUUGGACUACGCAUAAAUUGUAAAACGGGUUGAAGCAAUCUAGGGUUACUAUUCUAUUGCUAAUAUUGCCUCCAUCAUCAUCCAGUUCAGAAGCGGAUCUACAUGGGAACGGGUGAGGGUUGUAGCUAGGGGUGAGAACGGGGCGGGCCGCGGGCUGGACGGUCCUUGUCUUUCAAGAGUGGAGAUAUAUGUAGAGUUCAAACAUCCAAGGCGACAAUGCCACAAAAAAUGAGAAAGUUUUUUGUACAAAUUUACCGAGCCUCCAUUUUAUGUCGUCUUCAUUGGAAGUUCGUACAGUCACUGCGAACUCCCCCCUCGAGUAAAAUUGCAUUAGUAGCCAAACUCCGAAUCUGGACUCUCUGCAUAUCAAAACAAACAGUGACAUUAUUAUCUUUACAUAAUCGAUUUACUGAAAUUAAAUUUCUUAUGACAGAAAGCACAAGUAAUAGAUCACGAAGAACACAAGAUGAUCUGUUAAUUUCAGCUACAUUUUGACCCUAUUUGAUCAUUUGAAGUAGGGCACCGUCGACGGUGUAAAUGCUAUCUGUACCAUUGUAAGGUCGUGGACUUUGGAUAUUAUUUUAUGAAUUUAUGAUAUGCGAUGUAGCUCCUGAGUCUGGGUACCACGUGGUCUACCGGACCACAUGGUCCUAAGUAACUGCAUUUACCUAGUCAUGCCUGGCUCCAUUGGGUUCAUUUGGUGAUAAAGUUUAGUUAUGAUUAGGCUUAAAUUUUGUAAUAUUAAAGCGAUUAUAACAAUCUAUUGCACUGUGACCUCUCCUUGAACAUAUUUGGCAAUGGACCGUGUUGUCUGAUCUCGUUCCUGGAGUCGUUCUUGCCGCAACGUUCACCUCAGCCGAUUCAACCAAACGUGAUGUUCGUGCUCCCUUUUUCAGCUCCUGAUCCAUCAGUAACUCGCCGAGUUCUAAGAAUGUUAGAUUGGGGUCUGAUGAAGCACGAAAUCUGCUACCAGGGGGCUCGCGGGGUUGCGAGGAGUGCCGGAGGCUUUGGAGUCCACGAUGUGCGCUCUACGUCAAAUACCUGCAGAGGAGAGGAAUCGACGACCCAGAUGUGGGAGUAGGCGAUUCGAGCUCCUAGUGUGUCUUGGAAGGACCCCUUUUAUAGGGUCCUUGGGGCGUUUUCCAAUCAAUGCGUCGGGCCCACACCAUUAUGGCGCCCGGUUAAAGGUGCCAUAAUGGUGUGGGCCAGCCACAAGUAACGUCUGGGAAUCGACGACUCAGGUAUGGGAGUCGUUGAUCCAGGGGUGGAAUCGGCGAGUCCAAGGAGCGAGGUCAUCGGUCUAUCAGAACUGACUAACUCGAUCUCAACUCCGCGAUUCACCUCUGGACUCAGCGACUUGGUAGUCCCAGUCGACGAUUCCAUGGUGUUGACUUGAGGACUUGACGUAGAUAUUUGUUCCGCAACCGUGGAGCUCUCUAGGGGUCCGGCAUAAAGCGACGGAACCCUAGUCCUUGUUGAAGGGAGUUGUUGGGAGUGACUGACGUAAUCAGGCAUGUCUCACCAGGUUCAUACUGCGUCGUGGUGGAGGUCACAAAGGCUUCAUAGUCUUCAUCCAAAUCGCCCAACGUGAUUAGAUUUAUCUCUGAUUCCUUCAGCUUUUCUCCGGUAGCAGCAAGACUAUGAAGCUGGAGCCGCAAAUGGAGUUGUCUCGUUUGCGUCCCGGACACAUAUAGACGUUGUAGGCAUGACCAAACUCCGACGGAGGGUUCUGUUGGAUGCUACCUGGGGAACGAUCGUUGUUAAAAUCCCUAUCAGUAGCCAACUUAGAAUUAAUUGAUCAUGUUAGAUUUCCUCCGUGAUGGUGUGUGGGCUCGCGCUAGGGUGUUCACACACACAACUCUCUAGUAUUACUCUCUCUGAUUCUCGACCCCCUCCCCUGUUGCACCUGGGGAGGUAUUUAUAACCUAUCUCCUUGGGCCUACUGGACCUAACAGACCUUUUCGGCCCAGGGUCCGUUUAGGCGGGCCCUGGCACCAACACUCCAGUGAAAUGAGAUUGAUGUUGCCGUUGACGUAGCUCAUGAAAUUGAAUCCGCGUAGCAUAGCGGAAAAUUUGGCCUCCCAUGAAAAAUAAUUUUCUUUCUCUAGAACACAAAAAAUAUGUUUCGUAACAACCUUGAAUGGACUCGUCGGAAAAUUCGCAGCAGAAGAAGAUGGUGUUGGGCUCGUCAUCGUAGAUGGUGUUGAGCUCGUAUGAGGUGCAGCAAAAAAUCGCAAUUUGUGUCUGUGCGAUUCGCGUUCUGAAAUUGCAAGAACUGAAACAAGAAUCUGGAAUGCAACAAAUGGAAACGCGAUCUGCAUUCUGCGAUCUGCGUGAAAAACGUGAUUUGCGUCCGCGUUUCAGCAGGAAACUCACGAAUGUGUAGCGAUAUGCACGAAGCAGAAACUCGUGAAUGUGCAGCGAUAUGCACGAAGCAGAAACUCAUGAAUAUGCAGCAAUAUGCACGAUCAGCAGGAACUCGAGCCAGAUAUGCACGAUCAGCAGGAACUCGAGGAGCGAUCAGCAGGGAUAUGCACGAUCGACCUAGCAAAUGAUACCAUAUGUGAAACUGAAAUUGGUUUUUCAAUUACAGUAGCACCCUAUUUAUAGGUAUUACAAUCGGUUAUGAUUUAAUAAUAAACUGAUAUCGGACUAUAUAUUGUUAUCUAUUAUACAGAAGAUCAAAAUGUGGAUAUCUUUACAAAAUGUUUAUCAAUUGAAAAAUUCAACAAGUGUUAAACAUUGAUGAAUUUGGGGUCUCGGUCUUAAGCUAUGUUUUCUUUUUUCUUUAUAUUUAUAUUAUUUGUUAAUGUUUUGUUAAAUAGAAUUAGUAGUAUUCUAGUUUAUGUGAACAUUUAUUAAACUAAAGGUAGAGUUUAAUUGUUGUAUGAAUUGUUGUAUGAUGGACAAAUUAGCACAAGAGUAUGUAAAGAAUUUAAAAAAGAAUCUUGAGGCUAAUCUAAGCUUGAGAGAAAAGUAGUAGACCUAAAGGUAGAGUUUUCCCAGAACAAACAGCCUUUGGGUUUUUUACCCUCCUUUUGCUUUUCUACACAUAGAAUUGUAUACUUUGGACUACAUAACAACCUGGAUUAGGAAAUUAAAGUCAAUCUUUCAUAAAAAUCUUAUUUUGUGGAAGUAUGAGAUAUGAUAAUAAAUAUUUAUAGGUAGUUGUGUGGAUAUUAGUUAUAGUUAGUGAUGGUUAGUUACUAAUUAUUAGUUAGUUGUUAAACUAAUAUGAUUGAUGAAGUACGUAAUCUGCUACCAGGGGGCUCACGGGGUUGCGAGGAGGACCGGAGGCUUUGGAGUCCACGACGCGCGCGCGCUCUACGUCAAAUAUCUGCAGAGAGAAGGAGAAUCGACGACUCAGCUUGGGAGUGGGCGAUUCGGGCUCCUUAGUGUGCUCUGGUGUAGAAUGUAUCAAGUGAAUUGGAAGUGCCUUUGGAAGGACCCCCAAGGACCCCUUUUAUAGGGUCUUUGGGGCGUUUCCCAUUUAAUGAGCCAGGCCCACACCAUUAUGGCACCCGGUUAAAGGUGCCAUAAUGGUGUGGGCCAGCCACAAGUAACGGAUGGAAAUCGGCGACUCAGGUAUGAGAGUCGUCGAUUCAGGGGUGGAGUCGGCGAGUCCUAGGAGCAAAUCGUCAGUCUACCAGAACUGACUAACUUGGUCUCAACUCGUCGACUCACCUCUGGAAUCGGCGACUUGGUAGUCCCAAUCGUCGAUUCCUAGGUGUUGACUUGAGGACUUGACGUAGACACUUGUUCCCCAACCGUGGAGCUCUCCAGAGGUCCGGCAUAAAACGACAGAAUCCUAGUCCUUAUUGAAGGGCGUUGCUGAGAGUGACUGACGUAAUCAGGCAUGUCUCACCAAUGAUGUCUAAAUACAAAGUGUGGUUUUUAGUUCAUUCGAUAGUCUCAUUUAGCGUUCUUAACUGAGCCUACUGAACCGAAUACCUAAUUAAAUAGUUUGUUGAAUACCGAACUUUUUUUACAUUAUCCUAAAAAUAAACAUUAAAAAAAAAAACUUGUCCAUCUUUAAAAAAAAAUUGUUUAUAAUCUAUUUUAUCUACUUAAGUCAAUUCUUAGUCAUCUUUUUUUUGUUGAUUAAGAACAAGCAUGUCAUCAUCCUAAAGCCAUGACAAAAACUAAAACCUUAAAAACUAAAAAAUUAACAUAUACUAUAUUAAUGAAAAAUUACAAAAAUAUACAUAAGUUAUGCAAUAUACAAUAUAAAUUUAUAAUAAAAAUUUAUAUAAUAUAAGUUUAUAAUAUAAAUAUAAAAUAUAACAAAAAUUUAAACGAACCGAACCAUUCUUGAACCUCAACCAAAGUUUGGGUUCGAUUCGUUUAGUUAAACGAAUCUAUUUUAAGGUUCGGGUUCGAUUCGUUUAAUAAUCGAACCGAACCUGAACUGAACCCGAAACGAAUAGAAUAGUUCGUCGAAUACCGAACUUUUAUUGCAACUCUACUCUCGUUAGAUCUACACCAAUAUGAUGUUUUAAUUGCUCAUAAAUUUACUUCAUGUGGCGUGAAUCGUGCUUUCGACAUGAACCAAGCAAGAAAUGAUUCCAACAAAACUUCUGCCAGUUCGUUGACCGAAUUAGUUCAAAAAAUGCAGCAGAUUCUGAUCCAAUCGGAUGUUCCCACUCCUGCUAAGCAAUCUAAUUUUGAAGGAAGAUUACCGACUUUUGAAUGGAGGAAGAGAUUAUGUACCGCAAACCCCUUCAUAAGUCGGUAACCUUCUUCCAAAAUUAGAUUGCUUAUAUAAUUGACCAAUUGUCCCAUUACAACCCUAAAUUACUUCAAGAGUAAUCGAAACAUCUAUUGGUAAAGAUCUUUCUUAGUACGUUCUAUCACGAAAUAAUUAACCUUUACCAUACAUUUCAUACCGGUGUCGCCUUUGCCAUAAGAGAGGACGAUGCAUUUUGUUUAACAGGAGUGGGAACUUCCGAUUGGAUCAAAAUCUGUUGCAUUUUUGAACUAAUUCUGUCAACGAACUGUCAGAAGUUUUGUUGGAAAUAUUUCUUUCUUGGUUCACGUCGAAAGCAAAGGCAGAAUGGAUGGUAACUUGUAUUUCCUCGGUGUCCACUUGAAACUAUAACUCUAUCCCUAUUCCGCACCUGGUGACGUUGAGGAGUCAUACCUACUUAAACUUCUUUCACUAAUAAAAUUAAACGAAGACCUUGAACUUGAUACUUCUGCAUUCCCAAUCUGGAUAUUUUAUUUACUUGGCAUUCUGGUUUUCCAUUUGAAUCGGUAGUCUUUGGAUGAUUUCUCACAUUUUCAAGAUCAUUAUGUGAAUUAUUCGUUUCUGGCAUAUUUUGGUUUCUGGCACCUUGAAUCAUUCACAUUCCUCAUCUUAAAUAUCCAUCCAUCCUUCAACGUUUGAAGUUUUGGAUUCAGCUUUUG
rnacentral:lncRNA from 1 species